GAUGAACGCUGGCGGCGUGCCUAAUACAUGCCAGUCGAGCGAACAGACGAGGAGCUUGCUCCUCUGACGUUAGCGGCGGACGGGUGAGUAACACGUGGAUAACCUACCUAUAAGACUGGGAUAACUUCGGGAAACCGGAGCUAAUACCGGAUAAUAUAUUGAACCGCAUGGUUCAAUAGUGAAAGACGGUUUUGCUGUCACUUAUAGAUGGAUCCGCGCCGCAUUAGCUAGUUGGUAAGGUAACGGCUUACCAAGGCGACGAUGCGUAGCCGACCUGAGAGGGUGAUCGGCCACACUGGAACUGAGACACGGUCCAGACUCCUACGGGAGGCAGCAGUAGGGAAUCUUCCGCAAUGGGCGAAAGCCUGACGGAGCGACGCCGCGUGAGUGAUGAAGGUCUUCGGAUCGUAAAACUCUGUUAUUAGGGAAGAACAAAUGUGUAAGUAACUAUGCACGUCUUGACGGUACCUAAUCAGAAAGCCACGGCUAACUACGUG
rnacentral:rRNA from 1 species